UAUGGCCACAUCCAGUUGAAACACUGGUUCCUGUAUGAUCAAUGAAGCUAAGCAACAUCAAGCUUGGUCAGUACCCAGACGGGUGACUACUUGGGAAUACCAGAUGCUGUAAG